rnacentral:sRNA from 1 species
AAUCUACACCGUCCGCGUGCAUGAAUAUCGAUCU